rnacentral:rRNA from 1 species
UACAGAGGUCCCGAGCGUUGUUCGGAUUCACUGGGCGUAAAGGGUGCGUAGGUGGUGAGGUAAGUCGGAUGUGAAAUCUCCAGGCUCAACCUGGAAACUGCAUUGGAAACUACCUUGCUGGAGGAUUUGAGGGGGAUUGGAAUACUUGGUGUAGCAGUGAAAUGCGUAGAUAUCAAGUGGAACACCAGUGGCGAAGGCGAAUCCCUGGAAAAUACCUGACACUGAGGCACGAAAGCUAGGGAGCAAACAGG